rnacentral:rRNA from 1 species
GUCCAGACUCCUACGGGAGGCAGCAGUGGGGAAUAUUGCACAAUGGGGGGAACCCUGAUGCAGCGACGCCGCGUGGGUGAAGGAGCACCUCGGUGCGUAAAGCCCUAUCGGCAGGGAAGAAACAGACGGUACCUGACUAAGAAGCCCCGGCUAACUACGUGCCAGCAGCCGCGGUAAUACGUAGGGGGCAAGCGUUAUCCGGAUUUACUGGGUGUAAAGGGGGCGCAGACGGCAGCGCAAGCCAGGAGUGAAAGCCCGGGGCCCAACCCCGGGACUGCUCUUGGAACUGCGCGGCUGGAGUGCAGGAGGGGCAGGCGGAAUUCCUGGUGUAGCGGUGAAAUGCGUAGAUAUCAGGAGGAACACCAGUGGCGAAGGCGUCUUACUGGACCGAAACUGACGUUGAGGCUCGAAAGCGUGGGGAGCAAACAGGAUUAGAUACCCCGGUAC